CAGCAGCCGCGGGAAUACGAAGGGGGCUAGCGUUGUUCGGAUUUACUGGGCGUAAAGGGCGCGUAGGCGGACUGAUAAGUCAGGGGUGAAAUCCCAAGGCUCAGCCUUGGAACUGCCUUUGAUACUGUUUGUCUUGAGUUCGAGAGAGGUAAGUGGAACUGCGAGUGUAGAGGUGAAAUUCGUAGAUAUUCGCAAGAACACCAGUGGCGAAGGCGGCUUACUGGCUCGAUACUGACGCUGAGGCGCGAAAGCGUGGGGAGCAAACAGGAUUAGAUACCCCUGUAGUCCCUGUCUCUUAUAC
rnacentral:rRNA from 1 species